rnacentral:rRNA from 1 species
CACGGGGGGGAGCAAGCGUUGUUCGGAAUCACUGGGCGUAAAGGGCGUGUAGGCGGUUAUGUAAGUGGGAUGUGAAAAUGCCUCGGCUUACCCGGGGACCUGCAUCCCAUACUGCGUGACUUGAGUACGGGAGAGGAUGAGGGAAUUCCUGGUGUAGCGGUGAAAUGCGUAGAUAUCAGGAGGAACACCGGUGGCGAAGGCGCUCAUCUGGCCCGAUACUGACGCUGAGGCGCGAAAGCUAGGGUAGCGAACGGG